AAAUUGAAGAGUUUGAUCAUGGCUCAGAUUGAACGCUGGCGGCAGGCCUAACACAUGCAAGUCGAACGGUAACAGGAAGCAGCUUGCUGCUUUGCUGACGAGUGGCGGACGGGUGAGUAAUGUCUGGGAAACUGCCUGAUGGAGGGGGAUAACUACUGGAAACGGUGGCUAAUACCGCAUAACGUCGCAAGACCAAAGAGGGGGACCUUCGGGCCUCUUGCCAUCAGAUGUGCCCAGAUGGGAUUAGCUUGUUGGUGAGGUAACGGCUCACCAAGGCGACGAUCCCUAGCUGGUCUGAGAGGAUGACCAGCCACACUGGAACUGAGACACGGUCCAGACUCCUACGGGAGGCAGCAGUGGGGAAUAUUGCACAAUGGGCGCAAGCCUGAUGCAGCCAUGCCGCGUGUAUGAAGAAGGCCUUCGGGUUGUAAAGUACUUUCAGCGGGGAGGAAGGUGUUGUGGUUAAUAACCGCAGCAAUUGACGUUACCCGCAGAAGAAGCACCGGCUAACUCCGUGCCAGCAGCCGCGGUAAUACGGAGGGUGCAAGCGUUAAUCGGAAUUACUGGGCGUAAAGCGCACGCAGGCGGUCUGUCAAGUCGGAUGUGAAAUCCCCGGGCUCAACCUGGGAACUGCAUUCGAAACUGGCAGGCUUGAGUCUUGUAGAGGGGGGUAGAAUUCCAGGUGUAGCGGUGAAAUGCGUAGAGAUCUGGAGGAAUACCGGUGGCGAAGGCGGCCCCCUGGACAAAGACUGACGCUCAGGUGCGAAAGCGUGGGGAGCAAACAGGAUUAGAUACCCUGGUAGUCCACGCCGUAAACGAUGUCUACUUGGAGGUUGUGCCCUUGAGGCGUGGCUUCCGGAGCUAACGCGUUAAGUAGACCGCCUGGGGAGUACGGCCGCAAGGUUAAAACUCAAAUGAAUUGACGGGGGCCCGCACAAGCGGUGGAGCAUGUGGUUUAAUUCGAUGCAACGCGAAGAACCUUACCUGGUCUUGACAUCCACGGAAGUUUUCAGAGAUGAGAAUGUGCCUUCGGGAACCGUGAGACAGGUGCUGCAUGGCUGUCGUCAGC
rnacentral:rRNA from 1 species